rnacentral:rRNA from 1 species
UACGGGGGGGGCAAGCGUUGUUCGGAAUUACUGGGCGUAAAGCGUGCGCAGGCGGUUUUGUAAGCCAGAUGUGAAAGCCCCGGGCUCAACCUGGGAAUGGCAUUUGGGACUGCAAGGCUGGAGUUUGGCAGAGGAGACUGGAAUUCCCGGUGUAGCAGUGAAAUGCGUAGAUAUCGGGAGGAAUACCGAUGGCGAAGGCAGGUCUCUGGGCUAUAACUGACGCUCAUGCACGAAAGCGUGGGGAGCAAACAGG